GACGAACGCUGGCGGCGUGCCUAAUACAUGCAAGUAGAACGCUGAAGGAGGAGCUUGCUCUUCUGGAUGAGUUGCGAACGGGUGAGUAACGCGUAGGUAACCUGCCUGGUAGCGGGGGAUAACUAUUGGAAACGAUAGCUAAUACCGCAUAACAGUAGAUGUUGCAUGACAUUUACUUAAAAGGUGCAAUUGCAUCACUACCAGAUGGACCUGCGUUGUAUUAGCUAGUUGGUGGGGUAACGGCUCACCAAGGCGACGAUACAUAGCCGACCUGAGAGGGUGAUCGGCCACACUGGGGCUGAGACACGGCCCAGACUCCUACGGGAGGCAGCAGUAGGGAAUCUUCGGCAAUGGACGGAAGUCUGACCGAGCAACGCCGCGUGAGUGAAGAAGGUUUUCGGAUCGUAAAGCUCUGUUGUAAGAGAAGAACGAGUGUGAGAGUGGAAAGUUCACACUGUGACGGUAUCUUACCGGAAAGGGACGGCUAACUACGUG
rnacentral:rRNA from 1 species